rnacentral:rRNA from 1 species
UAAGUAACCAGAGGAAAAGAAAUCAAUUGAGACUCCGUGAGUAGUGGCGAGCGAAAGCGGACUAGGCCAGCAACUUAGUUUAGACAAUUUGAAUAGUUUGGAAAAACUAACCACAGAGGGUGACAGUCCCGUAAAAGUAAUGCUAAUCUAAGUUCUUGAGUAAAGCGGGACACGUGAAAUCCUGCUCGAAUUAUGGGGGACCACCCUCUAAGCCUAAGUACUCUACAGUGACCGAUAGUGAACUAGUACCGUGAGGGAAAGGUGAAAAGAACCCCUAUUAGGGGAGUGAAAUAGAACCUGAAACCGAUUGCCUACAAACAGUCGAAGCUCUUUUUAGAGUGACGGCGUACCUUUUGUAUAAUGGGUCAGUGACUUAAUUUAUAUUGCAAGCUUAAGCCGAUUAGGUGGAAGCGCAGCGAAAGCGAGUCUUAAUAGGGCGUUUAGUUGUAUGAAUUAGACCCGAAAACGAAUGAGCUUACCAUGAACAGGUUGAAAGUUGGGUAACACCAACCGGAGGACCGAACCAGUUGACGUUGAAAAGUCUUUGGAUGAUUUGUGGUAAGGGGUGAAAGGCCAACCAAAUUCGUAGAUAGCUGGUUUUCCGCGAAAACUAUUUA